UUACAUCUGCUGUGUCACUGAACCACACUCUCAGUUCCAUGAAAACACUCACAUGUCAUGGACAACUUUGAUUAAUCCAAAUGUUUGCUGCUGAGAUUUUUUCUUUUGGCCACUGAAAUGUGUGGUUUUUCUAUAGGUUUUUCAGACAAGGUUCUCGAAGAUAUCUUGGGAGGCGGGGGAUACAAAACUGACAAGAAUAAAGGUCGUGAUUGGGAUAGAUGUGGAGAAGAUUUGCAGUGACCUUGAACCAACUUUUGCUCAUCUCUCAGAUGAGAACCCUGGCUCCCACCCUUGUGCUCAUAGAUUCUUUUAGUCUUUGGACCCUGAUUAGAGACAGUUUACACCCUAGACAAGAGUGAAAAGGAGUUUUAGAACAACAGUCCUUCUGGACUCUCCACAGAUGCUUUGGUGAAAGAAGGAAAAUGAGCUUAUGCUUUUGUGGAGCUCUCCUGGAGACAGAAUGAGGUGGGAAACCUCUUGCCUCCUUGCUUUCUCCUUUUGGAGAUGUGCUUAUGUCUGGCUAUGGGUCCUUUAAGUACGAUAUCUGGGACCUUUUGGUGGGACACCAUCUAGCUCCUUCCCUCUAUGUCUAUUGUCUCUCCUUGGUGUUCCAAGCUGUCCAUGUAUGUCAGUUUAUGGCUGGGUAUUGCUUCUAGUUGCUUGAAUGUUUUGUGUUUCAUGUUUAAAAGAAAAAAAAAUGGUUAAAACUUUAAAUGCUGGUUGAUUCCUCUCUUGAUUUAGUUUUAAGACCUUUCAAGAAAGGAACAAAUAAAUAAAAAGCAUUUUAAAUUAACCUUUGAAGACCUGCAUCAUAGAUAACUGGUUAUCUCUGGUGUCAACAGCCAUACAUGUCUCUGACUGGAUCUGGCAUCAAUGGAGGAAUGUAGCUAGGAGCCUAGGUCUGUCCACUGGGGAAGCUUCCCAGGGGGCUGGCUAAAUGUUUACACUAGCUUAUCUUAAAGGUGCCAGCAGCUUCAAAGCUUCUGUGGUAAUGGAGCUGUUAGCUGUUUCUCUUAGAGAAAUCUUUGACUGUGAUUAUUGGAUUCAACAUGUAACAAGGUGCUUCUUUUAAAAUGACAGCUAGAAAAAGUAAAAAUGGUGUUAGAUCUAAAUACUAAAGAUAUGCGUUGUCACUUCAUUUUUUUUCCGUUUGGUUUUCAAUGUAUAAUGUGCUCUACAUGUCUUGGCUAUAGGUGAUUGGUUUUUAAGUUACUGGGUAUGGUUAAAAGUUUGUAACAUUGAUAACAGAAAGUUGGCUUAAAAGUGGAGUCAUUCUAGACAACACGUGGCAUGAGCCAACCCAGGGAAACAGGUCUAGAUUGGGAUAAUAUUUUAAUAAAACUCUUAUCACAGAAACCAGACUUAUUAAAGAAUUUAGGCAAUGUCUCUUUGGUGAGGUAUUAGAGCCUGCACCAUUGUUCGUUCAUAUGCAAGACUUGGCAGUCAUACUUUAUAGCACGAGGAAUGGAUUUGGAGUUUUAGAGAGACUGAAUUUUAGAGAAUAGAUUGUUUGUUGGAGGGAGAGUUUUGCUUUCCAAAGUUAUGGCUGUGCUCUUGUGUUACAAGGGAAACUUAAAGAUUGUGGUUAAUGAUUGCCAGUGUUACACUGACUACAGUUUACAGUUCGGUCACAAAGAGAAGCGGGAUUCUAACUCACACACAUUUGCAAGUAAGGAAAAAUCAAACAGGUGGAGAUAGUUACGAAGGGUUGAUGAGGCUAUGGAACUUAUAAAAGCAUUACAGCCUGGUUGCUUAAUCCAACUGCUAUUUCAAGAAAUACGUAUAGAAUUAUUAUAGGUUUAAGAGAUUGUUUUUAUGCUGUUUUUUGCACUCUGGGGUUGUUAUGAAAUAUUACAUUAUUGAGUUUUCUUGGGUGUUGUUUGCCUUGACCAUACAUUUGUAUGCCUUUUUGAAAGAAAAAUGUAUUCAUUUUUAUUUAUUUUGAUGAAUUGUUCUUUGGCUGACUUUUGUCUGUUGUCCCUCUGCAUGCAGUUCGGUCCAUGGCCAGCGGAGGACACUAGAUACCCUGUUACGUAUGAUGGUUAAGCACACUAUAGGUCUUCUGAGUGAGCAGCAGAUUUUGCAUUGGGUUCUGUUGUUUAUGACCUGGAGUUUGUCUCUCCCCUAUGUUUAUCUCUGGUGUUAACUAUCAUUCAUGACUCUGACUGGAUUCAGCCUCACUGGAGGAAUGUAGAGCUCUGUGAGCUGGGUGACAGCUGGUCUCCUGGGAGUUAGGUAGUACUGUCUCUGUUUAGGGUAGGCCUCCUGUGUCUCUGGUUACAGCACGCCUCCAGGGUCCCUGGAGUACUAACCCACAGGCCUCAGAGAAUUUUGAGAGAGUCUGUACUAUUAUUUUCUAUCUUCCCUUCACAUUUCCUACAUCUUUAAUAGAGUACAGAGUUGGCAACUAUGAAUUAUAUUUCCUAGGUUUCUCUCAAACCAAGAGUUUGCAUGUGAUUAAGUUCUAGGCAGAAACAUAUGAACAGAGUCCACAGGUAAAAUGUCUGCCAUUUUCUUCUUUAUGUUUACCCACUCUAGUACUAAGGAUCAAAUUCCUAUAUUAUUAAAGAUAGUUGCUUUAUUCAAUAUCAAGAAUGUAUGUGUAAGUAAAAGCCAUAUACAGCAAACCAGUUGCUAACAUUAAACUAAAUGGAGAGAAACUUGAAGCAAUCCCACUAAAAUCAAGGACUAAACAAGGCUGCCUACUCUCUCUUUACUUAUUCAAUAUAGUUCUUGAAGUUCUUCCCAGAGCAAUCAGACAACAAAAGGAAAUCAAGGUGAUUCAGACUGGUAAAGAAGAAGUCAAAAUAUCACUAUUUGCAAAUGAUAUGACAGUAUAUUUAAGUGAUCCCAAAAGUUCCACCAAAGAACUACUAGAGCUGAUAAACAGCUUCAGCAAAGUGACUGGGUAUAAAUUUAACUCAAAUAAAUCAGUAGCCUUCCACUACAUGAAAGAGAAACAAGCAGAGAAAGAAAUUAGGGAAACGACACCCUUCAUAAUAGACCCAAAUAAUAUAAAGUACCUCAGUGUGACUUUAACCAAGCAAGUAAAAGAUCUGUACAAUAAGAAUUUCAAGACUCUGAAGAAAGAAAUUGAAGAAGACUCAGAAGAUGGAAAUAUUUCCCAUGCUCAUGGAUUGGCAGGCUUAAUAUAGUAAAAAUGGCCAUUUUACCAAACGCGAUCUACAGAUUCAGUGCAAUCCCUAUCAUAAUACCAGUCCAAUUCUUCAAAGAGUUAGACAGAACAAUAUGCAAAUUCAUCUGGAAUAAAAAAAAAACCAGGAUAGCUAAAACUAUUCUCAACAAUAAAAGGACUUCAGGGGGAAAUCACUAUCUCUGACCUCAACCAAUAUUACAGAGCUAUAGUGAUAAAAAACUGCAUGGCACUGGUAUAGAGACAGACAGGUAGAUCAAUGGAACAGAAUUGAAGACACAGAAAUGAACCCACACACCUAGAAGCACCUGAUUUUUGACAAAAGAGCCAAAACCAUUCAAUGGAAAAAAGAUAGCAUUUUCAGCAAAUGGUGCUGGUUCAACUGGAGGUCAACAUGUAGAAGAAUGCAAAUUGAUCCAUGCUUGUCACCCUGUACAAAGCUUAAGUCCAAGUGGAUCAAGGACCUGCACAACAAACAAGAUACACUCAAACUAAUAGAAGGAGAACUAGGGCAGCAUCUCGAACACAUGGGCACUGGAAAUAAUUUCCUGAACAAAACACCAAUGGCUUAUGCUCUAAGAUCAAGAAUCGACAAAUGGGAUCUCAUAAUACUGCUAAGCUUCUGUAAGGCAAAGGGCACUGUGGUUAGGACAACAUGGCAACGAACACACUGGGAAAAUAUCUUUACCAAUUCUACAACAGAUAGAGGCCUUAUAUCCAAAAUAUACAAAGAACUCAAGAAGUUAGACUGCAGGGAGACAAAUAACCCUAUUAAAAAAUGGGGUUCAGAGCUAAACAAAGAAUUCACAGCUGAGGAAUGCUGAAUGGCUAAGAAACACCGAAAGAAAUGUUCAACAUAUUUAGUCAUAAGGGAAAUGCAAAUCAAAACAACCCUGAGAUUUCACCUCACACCAGUGAGAAUGGCUAAGAUCAAAAAACUCAGGUGACAACAAAUGCUGGCGAGGAUAUGGAGAAACAGGAAUACUCCUCCAUUGUUGGUGGGAUUGCAGACUGGUAAAACCAUUCUGGAAAUCAGUCUGGAGGUUCCUCAGAAAAUUGGACAUUGAACUACCUGAGGAUCCAGCUAUACCUCUCUUGGGCAUAUACCCACAAAUGCCCCAACAUAUAAAAAAAGACACAUGCUGCACUAUGUUCAUAGCAGUCUUAUUUAUAAUAGCAAGAGCUUGAAGGGACUCGAGACCCUUUAUGAACAACAAUGCCAAGCAACCAAGCUUCCAGGGACUAAGUCACUACCUAAAGACUAUACAUGGACUGACCCUGGACUAUGACCUCAUAGGUAGCAUUGAAUGUUCUAUUAAGAUCAAAAGUGGAAGGGGAAGCCCUUGGUCCUGAUAAAACUGAACCCCCAGUGAACAUGAUUGUUGGGGGGAGGGCGGCAAUGGGGGGAGGGUGGAGAAGGGAACACCCAUAAAGAAGGGGAGGGAGAGGGAUUAGGGGGAUGUUUGCCCCGACACCUGGAAAGGGGAAUAACAUUCGUAAUGUAAAUAAGAAAUACUCAAGUUAACAAAAAAAAAGAAAAGAAAAGAAAAGAAAAGAAAAAAAAAGAAUGUUUGUGUAAUGUGUCAACAUCUGGUGUUAGGGAUUGUCUUAUUUUCUCCCCCCAAAAGCCUCACUUCUAGACCUGAGUGCCCCUGAGGACUUCAACUGAUAAUAAAGUCUUGCCACAGCCAAUGGCUGAGCAGAAAGACAGAAAGACAGGUCAAAGGAUUGGGAGAGAGGAAAGGAUGAAGAGAGUAGCCAUGAUCCAGAAUUAGAAGGAUCAGAUUUAAGAGCUACAGGAGAGAAAGCAGCCUAUGUUGUAGGUAGAAGGAAAGAGGACACUAUUGGGGGAGUGGGGUGUUUCCCAGAAGGUAACAGGGCAGCAUAGAUAAAACAUACAUUUAAAGGUGUGAAACCUGGGAUCCUGGGUGGAAGGGAGAUGUAUGGUAUCUGUCAGGAGAAUUAGAAAUGUGUCUUUCAUUCUCGAAACCAGAGAACUCUUGGGCACGAGCCAUGACUGUACUAAGGAGCCAAAGUUGUUUAAUUAAUUCACUGCUAAAAUCUGGUACACUUAGGUCCCAAGUAAGGGUCACAUUACCCUGGACACAGGUUACACAGCCCAGUCUGCCAAUGCACAGUUUAUUCCAUUUCAACUUCUUUUAAAUUCAAAGCAUGAUGAAAGUUUCCCACCAUUUCUAGUUCUUACCAGCUGCUAUUUCUCUAGCAAGAGCACAUCUUGGAUCAAAGUGACCCAAACCUCCUUGAAGACUGAGAAAUCUGUCAGCAGUCCAACUCUUAGACGUGUUAGAGGUCCUGCUGUCUAAUUAAGAUGACAGGCAACAUGACACUUGCUCAAUCGGAAGCGAGUGCUUGUCACAAGGAUUCUGGAUGGUGUUUUCUUCUCCUCUGGAAGAUACAAAGAAACUCUACCAUUCAGCUCCUCCAAGGCUUCAGGCAUCUGCAUGAAAGGCACAGCAAGAGGAGAGACAGUGUCAGUGCAUCCACUGCUCCACCACAGUUUGCUUUCUCAUUAGGAAAACAAACGGCCUCCCAGGAAUUCUGAGACCUACAAAGAAGGAGGUAGAAAGAGCUUUCAAAUGACUCAAAAGCGUUUUUAAAAAAAUCUAUUGAGUGAGUUCUCAUUUGAAGUUCAUAGAACACUCACUUCCUAGUUUGAAAAUUGGUAUUUGAGGAGCAAAUUAAACAUCCCAAUUUGGUAAAAUCUUCCUAAAAAUGUAUCUUCAGGAAACCAAAUAGGUCCAAAUGAUGACUGUUUUACUGUAUAGAAGACUGUUAAUUAAGAAUAUGGAAAGCAAUACAUAAUCAGAAAAGCCCACAUUCUGUAAUUCCUAUUAAAUUUAGCAAUUUAGUUACUAUGUUGAAUUUUAAUUAAAAUGUUGCUGUUGGGAACUAAGAAAGUCACCUUGGACCAAAAGUAACCCUGCAGAGAUUGCUUUCUUGUUGCUGAUGGGGAACGAGGGGCUAAGGGUUCAAUGAAAGCUCAGACUGGACCAACAAGCUCAUCAGGUAAAGGAACUUGCUACCAAGGUUGGUGACUUGAGUGUGAUUUCUGGAAUCAGGUCCAAAGGACAUAACUCCUCCCAAAAGUUAUCCACUGAUGCCACACAGGACAGUGGAAUUCAUGUGCACAAGUGCACACACACACACACACACAGACAGACACACACACACACACACACAAAGAGAGGGGGUGUGAAUAAACAUAAUAUAUUUUUCAAAGGCUCAAAUGUCACAGUGCCUAAGAAUGAAUCUUAGCACCCAGUCAGUGUUGCAGAACAGAAGGCAGAAGCAGGCCAAGUCUACAGCAAGCUAGCAAGUUUCUAAGAAUGUGGGUCCUGAGGAAAAACAAGGUUUGGAACCAGGGUGUGUCCAAACAGGUGGACCAUAAAAGGAUUUUUUGAGAACUCGAUGCAGACAUUUGCACUUGCACCAGAAUUAUUGUUAAUGUUGGCAUUCAUUCUACACUCCACUGAGCCAAGCUCCCUGGGCAAGCCAUCCCCAAAUAGGACUUGGAAGUGCCAUUUCCACAUCUAGCUACUAGGAUAGUGAGUCCCACAUCUAAAUCCCCUGCCUGUGAGUUCAGAGCACUCGAGGGGUAUCUGAAAAGAUCUUCCCAGUACAGGCCCACUACCUC